rnacentral:rRNA from 1 species
GCCAGCACGCCGCGGUAAUACGGAGGGUGCAAGCGUUACUCGGAAUCACUGGGCGUAAAGGGCGCGUAGGCGGAUUAUCAAGUCUCUUGUGAAAUCUAAUGGCUUAACCAUUAAACUGCUUGGGAAACUGAUAGUCUAGAGUGAGGGAGAGGCAGAUGGAAUUGGUGGUGUAGGGGUAAAAUCCGUAGAUAUCACCAAGAAUACCCAUCGCGAAGGCGAUCUGCUGGAACUCAACUGACGCUAA